GACGAACGCUGGCGGCGUGCCUAAUACAUGCAAGUCGAGCGAGCUUGCCUAGAUGAAUUUGGUGCUUGCACCAGAUGAAACUAGAUACAAGCGAGCGGCGGACGGGUGAGUAACACGUGGGUAACCUGCCCAAGAGACUGGGAUAACACCUGGAAACAGAUGCUAAUACCGGAUAACAACACUAGACGCAUGUCUAGAGUUUAAAAGAUGGAUCUGCUAUCACUCUUGGAUGGACCUGCGGUGCAUUAGCUAGUUGGUAAGGCAACGGCUUACCAAGGCAAUGAUGCAUAGCCGAGUUGAGAGACUGAUCGGCCACAUUGGGACUGAGAAACGGCCCAAACUCCUACGGGAGGCAGCAGUAGGGAAUCUUCCACAAUGGACGCAAGUCUGAUGGAGCAACGCCGCGUGAGUGAAGAAGGGUUUCGGCUCGUAAAGCUCUGUUGGUAGUGAAGAAAGAUAGAGGUAGUAACUGGCCUUUAUUUGACGGUAAUUACUUAGAAAGUCACGGCUAACUACGUG
rnacentral:rRNA from 1 species